rnacentral:tRNA from 1 species
GGCAACUUGCCCGAGUGGUUAAGGGGCUCGCCUGCUAAGCGAGUGUGCUACGCACGCACGGGUUCGAAUCCCGUAGUUGUCG